rnacentral:rRNA from 1 species
GGGAAAUCUUAUUUCGUUCGAACAUACUGAGGAUUGACAGGUUUUUAUAAGAUUUAUAUUUAUAUUUUAUUUGGUAAUUUAUUAUUAAAUAAAAUAUUUUAUAAAUAUUCUUAUAUCAAASAUGCUAGUCCUUUCAUGAUUGUGUGAUAGGUGGUGCAUGGCCGUUCUUAGUUCGUGGAGUGAUCUGUCUGCUUAAUUGCGUUYCAUAAUAAGAGUUUGUAAUGAAUACUUUGUUUGCACACAAGGUUUGCUGCUUUUUAGUCUUCGGAUUAAAUUGCACCCUUGUAGUUGCACGGUAUUCUUAGAAGCACGCUCUGAAGGCAACGA